GCCUCGGUGGUGUAGUGGUAGUAGUGCGCGUUCACGGUAUGGAUGCUACUACCACUACACCACCGAGGUACAUUAUCGCCACCAGCGCGUCCCGGUUGGAUGAAACGCGGGUUCGAUUCCCGCCUGAGACC